GAGUGCGCGGACAGACCGGGAGCCCGGCUCCAGGGGUCACAGCGGUGGCGGGACCCAUCACACACAGGGUUAAAGGUGCAGCCGCGUGCGUCAGCUGAUACGCAGCGCCGCGUAAGGAGCGCGCGGGCGGGGGGAGGCUGGUCCUGCGGAGCCGGAGCGUCCAGCAGCUUCCUGCAUCUGCCGACACACCGCCGGGGCUCAUCCCGAUCAUGUGCCUCCCUGCCGGGCAGUUCGCGACUCAGCUGAAGGAAGUCGGCCUGGUUUCCUUCCCCGCUGCGUUCACGGUCGCAUCCGGAGCUCCACUUCCCCCCUCCGCUCCUGCGUUCUAGCUCUGCUCUGCGGGGCCCGGGAGCCCGGACGAACGAGGCUUUAGUCAACCCGGAGAGCUGCAGCCAGCCGUCUCUGAGGCGGGUCAUGGAGGAGCGGGAGAAGGAGGCUUCACCGGUGGACACGUCCGCGCCUCUGCCGACGCUGAGCCCCGCCGUUCCGGCUUACGUGAAGCUGGGCCUGACGGUGGUCUACACCGUCUUCUACUCCCUCCUCUUCAUCUUCAUCUACGUGCAGCUCUGGCUGGUCCUGCGGUACCGACACAAGCGCUUCAGCUACCAGACCGUCUUCCUGUUCCUGUGCCUGCUGUGGUCCGCGCUGCGCACCGUCCUCUUCUCCUUCUACUUCAAGAACUUCGUGACGGCCAACACUCUGACGCCGUUCCCCUUCUGGCUGCUCUACUGCUUCCCCGUCUGCCUGCAGUUCUUCACGCUCAGCCUCAUGAACCUUUACUUUGCUCAGGUUGUUUUUAAAGCCAAGUCGAAAUAUUCUCCUGAGCUUUUGAAGUACAGGCUGCUGCUGUACGUGGUCUUCCUGUUCAUCAGCCUGCUCUUCCUGGUGGUGAACUUGGUCUGCGCUCUACUGGUGAGGAUGUCCUUCGCAGAGGCCCGCACCGUCGUGUUGGUGAGGGUGGCCAUCAACGACAGCCUUUUCGUCCUGUGCGCCAUCUCGCUCGCGCUAUGCCUCUACAAGAUUGCCAAGAUGUCGCUGGCUAACAUCUACCUGGAGUCCAAGGGGACGUCCGUUUGCCAGGUGACGGUCAUUGGCGCCAUCGUCAUCCUCCUGUAUGCAUCCAGAGCCUGUUAUAACCUGGUGGUGUUGGGACUCUCCAACAAGAACAUCAACUCCUUUGAUUUUGACUGGUACAACGUGUCCGACCAGGCAGAUUUACAGUGGACUUUGGGAGACAAAGGCUACAUCAUCUUUGGGGUGAUUCUGUUUGUGUGGGAGCUGUUCCCCACGUCGCUCGUCGUCUUUUUCUUCAGGGUUCGGAAGCCCAACCUGGACAGGCUCUGGUCUUCCUGGUCACGUCUUUUCCUCCCGGGCUUAUUUCUUUGACAACCCCCGGCGUUACGACAGCGACGACGACCUGGCGUGGAGCGUCAUGCCUCAGAACAUCCAGGCGAGCCUGGCAGCUGACAGCUACGAGUGGGGGAGUCAAAGCAGCGGAAUCGGUGCUUACAUCGGUGGUGACGACAGUUACACCUUCACUCCUCCUCCUCCUCCUCCCGAGGAGCUGAGCCACUACUGAAUGGACUCCUCCCGAUCCUCCUCUGUGGGAUUUUGCACAGUUUGUUACUGAAAAGGCACAUGUGGUUGAAAAUGGUCUCGAACUUUUAGAAGAUUUGCCAGUAGAAAACUCCCCAGAAAUAAUGGGACCAUAAUGUUGCACACUCCUGUCUUAAACUUCUUUUACUGUAUAGUUCAUAUUGAAUACAACUUAAUAUAUUUUCUCAGUCUAUGCAAAUGUACUGUAUAACUAUUUUAUUAACUGUUGAUCAAAAUGUUUUCUGUGUUGAUAGUAAAAAGUUCUUUUAUUAAAAUGAAAAGUUUAAAUUCUGUCAGAAAUUUUAAAAUUAUAUUUGAAUAAAUUAACUUCAUCUGAGGGUUUUAAA